rnacentral:rRNA from 1 species
GACGAACCGUCCAAACGUUAUUCGGAAUUACUGGGCUUAAAGGGUGCGUAGGCGGCUCUGCAAGUUGGGUGUGAAAUCCCUCGGCUCAACCGAGGAAUGGCGCCCAAAACUGUGGAGCUCGAGGGAGACAGAGGUGAGUGGAACUUGUGGUGGAGCGGUGAAAUGCGUUGAUAUCACAAGGAACACCGGUGGCGAAAGCGGCUCACUGGGUCUCUUCUGACGCUGAGGCACGAAAGCUGGGGGAGCGAACAGGAUUAGAUACCCCCGUAGUCCCUGA